rnacentral:rRNA from 1 species
AGUGAACGCUGGCGGUAGGCCUAACACAUGCAAGUCGAACGGCAGCACAGUAAGAUCUUGCUCUUACGGGUGGCGAGUGGCGGACGGGUGAGGAAUACAUCGGAAUCUACUUUUUCGUGGGGGAUAACGUAGGGAAACUUACGCUAAUACCGCAUACCACCUACGGGUGAAAGCAGGGGAUCUUCGGACCUUGCGCGAUUGAAUGAGCCGAGGUCGGAUUAGCUAGUUGGCGGGGUAACGGCCCACCAAGGCGACGAUCCGUAGCUGGUCUGAGAGGAUGAUCAGCCACACUGGAACUGAGACACGGUCCAGACUCCUACGGGAGGCAGCAGUGGGGAAUAUUGGACAAUGGGCGCAAGCCUGAUCCAGCCAUGCCGCGUGUGUGAAGAAGGCCUUCGGGUUGUAAAGCCCUUUUGUUGGGAAAGAAAAGCAGCAGGUUAAUACCCCGCUGUUCUGACGGUACCCGAAGAAUAAGCACCGGCUAACUUCGUG